rnacentral:tRNA from 1 species
CCAUCCCUAGCUCAACUGGAUAGAGCAACGGUCUUCUAAACCGUAGGUUGCAGGUUCAAGUCCUGCGGGGUGGACCA